rnacentral:rRNA from 1 species
AUUGAACGCUGGCGGCAUGCCUUACACAUGCAAGUCGAACGGUAACAGGUCUUCGGAUGCUGACGAGUGGCGAACGGGUGAGUAAUACAUCGGAACGUGCCCGAUCGUGGGGGAUAACGAGGCGAAAGCUCUGCUAAUACCGCAUACGAUCUACGGAUGAAAGCGGGGGAUCUUCGGACCUCGCGCGGACGGAGCGGCCGAUGGCAGAUUAGGUAGUUGGUGGGAUAAAAGCUUACCAAGCCGACGAUCUGUAGCUGGUCUGAGAGGAUGAUCAGCCACACUGGGACUGAGACACGGCCCAGACUCCUACGGGAGGCAGCAGUGGGGAAUUUUGGACAAUGGGGGAGACCCUGAUCCAGCCAUGCCGCGUGCAGGAUGAAGGCCUCGGGUUGUAAACUGCUUUUUGUACGGAACGAAAAGGUCUCUUCUAUAAAGGGGGCCCAUGACGGUACCGUAAGAAUAAGCACCGGCUAACUACGUGCCAGCAGCCGCGGUAAUACGUAGGGUGCAAGCGUUAAUCGGAAUUACUGGGCGUAAAGCGUGCGCAGGCGGUUAUGUAAGACAGAUGUGAAAUCCCCGGGCUCAACCUGGGAACUGCAUUUGUGACUGCAUGGCUAGAGUGCGGCAGAGGGGGAUGGAAUUCCGCGUGUAGCAGUGAAAUGCGUAGAUAUGCAGAGGAACACCGAUGGCGAAGGCAAUCCCCUGGGCCUGCACUGACGCUCAUGCACGAAAGCGUGGGGGAGCAAACAGGAUUAGAUACCCU